rnacentral:sRNA from 1 species
UAUCGAUGAGUCGUUGGAAGGUAGCUG